UACGUAGGGUGCGAGCGUUGUCCGGAAUUACUGGGCGUAAAGAGCUCGUAGGUGGUUUGUCGCGUUGUCCGUGAAAACUCACAGCUCAGCUGUGGGCGUGCGGGCGAUACGGGCAGACUAGAGUGCGGUAGGGGAGACUGGAAUUCCUGGUGUAGCGGUGAAAUGCGUAGAGAUGCGGCGGAACACCGAUGGCGAAGGCAGCCCCCUGGGCUUAAAUUGACGCUGAGGCACGAAAGCGUGGGGAGCAAACAGG
rnacentral:rRNA from 1 species